rnacentral:rRNA from 1 species
AUACGUAUGGUGCAAGCGUUGCUCGGAAUCACUGGGCGUAAAGGGUGCGUAGGUGGGCUUACAAGUCUGAUGUGAAAUACCACGGCUCAACUGUGGUGCUGCAACGGAAACUGUAAGUCUGGAGUCUCGGAGAGGCAGGUAGAAUUCUCGGUGUAGCGGUGGAAUGCGCAGAUAUCGAGAGGAAUACCGAUGGCGAAGGCAGCCUGCUGGACGAAGGCUGACGCUGAGGACACGAAAGCGUGGGGAGCGAACAGGAUUAGAUACCCUGGUAGUCCACGCCCUAAACGUUGUCGACUAGACGUUAGUGAGUUAUGAUAGCUCAUUAGUGUCGAAGCUAACGCGAUAAGUUGACCGCCUGGGGACUACGCUCGCAAGAGUAAA